rnacentral:rRNA from 1 species
AAUAUUGCGCAAUGGACGGAAGUCUGACGCAGCGACGCCGCGUGAGCGAUGAAGGUCUUCGGAUCGUAAAGCUCUGUCUUUGGGGACGAAGGGCUUCGGCCUUGACGGUACCCAAGAAUAACGGCCCGGCUAACUGCGUGCCAGCAGCCGCGGUAAUACGUAGGGGGCGAGCGUUGUCCGGAAUUACUGGGCGUAAAGGGUUCGUAGUCGGCCCUUUAAGUCAGAUGUGAAAGGCCACGGCUUAACCGUGGAACUGCAUUUGAAACUGUGUAGCUUGAGUGCAGGGGAGGAAAGUGGAAUUCCUAGUGUAGCGGUGAAAUGCGUAGAGAUUAGGAGGAACACCAGUGGCGAAGGCGACUUUCUGGACUGUAACUGACGCUGAGGUACGAAAGCGUGGGUAGCGAACA